AUUUAAUUGAUUUUUUUUUGGGUUGAUUAAAAAUAUUUUUUUUAAUCAAUUCUGAAUAUGAAAGAAUUCAAUGAUUAUUUUCCAACAAAGCUAAUAUGUUUAGGAGAAACACUAAUGUUUAUCGAAUCGAGAGUUUCAACUACCAAGCAAGUGAAAUCAAAAUGAAAAUGAAAAAUCACUAGCUGCUUUUAUUCCCUAUUCCCAAUUCCCAAAUGAAAGAUCUAUGAUCUUAGCUUUGUUCUGCAAUUCUGUCUGAGUAAUCAAAUUAAUUAGCAGCCAAACAUACUUCAUAAAAUAUAGUCAGUUACAACGAUAGACCAUCUCUUUCUAUCAAAAGGAAAAAAAGAGACGA
rnacentral:misc_RNA from 1 species